AAACAGAUCUAAAUGGAUUCC
rnacentral:miRNA from 1 species